rnacentral:rRNA from 1 species
GACGAACGCUGGCGGCGUGCUUAACACAUGCAAGUCGAACGGAAAGGCCCUGCUUUUGUGGGGUGCUCGAGUGGCGAACGGGUGAGUAACACGUGAGUAACCUGCCCUUGACUUUGGGAUAACUUCAGGAAACUGGGGCUAAUACCGGAUAGGAGCUCCUGCUGCAUGGUGGGGGGUGGAAAGUUUCGGCGGUUGGGGAUGGACUCGCGGCUUAUCAGCUUGUUGGUGGGGUAGUGGCUUACCAAGGCUUUGACGGGUAGCCGGCCUGAGAGGGUGACCGGCCACAUUGGGACUGAGAUACGGCCCAGACUCCUACGGUAGGCAGCAGUGGGGAAUAUUGCACAAUGGGCGGAAGCCUGAUGCAGCAACGCCGCGUGCGGGAUGACGGCCUUCGGGUUGUAAACCGCUUUCGCCUGUGACGAAGCGUGAGUGACGGUAAUGGGUAAAGAAGCACCGGCUAACUACGUG